rnacentral:rRNA from 1 species
UUUGACGGAGAGUUUGAUCCUGGCUCAGGACGAACGCUGGCGGCGUGCUUAACACAUGCAAGUCGAACGCUGAA